AACGCACAUUGCGCCCCUUGGUAUUCCAUGGGGCAUGCCUGUUCGAGCGUCAUUUGUACCUUCAAGCUCUGCUUGGUGUUGGGUGUUUGUCUCCUGUAGACUCGCCUUAAAACAAUUGGCAGCCGGCGUAUUGAUUUCGGAGCGCAGUACAUCUCGCGCUUUGCACUCAUAACGACGACAUCCAAAAGUACGUUUUUACACUCUUGACCUCGGAUCAGGUAGGGAUACCCGCUGAACUUAA
rnacentral:misc_RNA from 1 species